GCCGCGGUAGCUCAGCCUGACAUAGACUUGGGCUAUGGAGAGCGCCCGGCUGAAGACCGGGUUGUCGCCGGUUCAAACCCGGCCCGCGGCACCA
rnacentral:tRNA from 1 species